CCUGUAGCUUACACAGAUGGGCACAGCCACGCCCUCUCCUGGAAGAGCCUAGCCCAGUGGGGACAGGAGCCCUGUGUCCCUGGUGCUAAAUGCUCUCUUCCCUUUGGGCCACUGUGGGUGGGAACUCCUUUCUGGCCAGACCACGAGGGUCUAAAGCAAUAAUGGAACCUCAGCAGUGCCAGUACGGACUGGGUUCUUGGUUUAUCAGCUUUUCCAUUUCCUUUUAUUUUAAAAAUAAAUUAGCCCUGGCUGG